AAGUCGUAACAAGGUUUCCGUUGGGAUCCUUCCCCGAAGCCUUCUGCACAACGACUAUAACCAUGUGCCCAGUCUGCCCUCGCGGCCGGCGACGUCACCCAUCUGCUGGAACCUGCUGUGGCGGGAACCAGCAGCCGGACCCAUCUCUGAUAUCUCCGGUUCACAGAUUAGACGGUGGCGGUCAGCAUGUCAUCUCUCCGGUGGUCGGGGUGCCCUAGACGGUGCCCUGCUCCCAGGGAGGGAGGGUGUUGAUUGAGAUAUAAUCGGUUGCUAUCGUCGUCUCCAUAGCCAAGAAACGUUCCGUAGGUGAACCUGCGGAAGGAUCAUUAUCGAGUUCGGGGUCCUCUGGGCCCCAUCUCCAACCCUUGUCUAUUCUACCAUGUUGCUUUGGCGGGCCCGUCUUCAACCGGACCGCCGGGGACUUCGGUCCCUGGCCCGUGCCCGUCAGUAGCCCCCCUGAAAUUCUCUUCCCGGUGAUGUCUCAGUCCAAAUGUAAUAAUCAAAACUUUCAACAACGGAUCUCUUGGUUCUGGCAUCGAUGAAGAACGCAGCGAAAUGCGAUAAGUAAUGCGAAUUGCAGAAUUCCGUGAGUCAUCGAAUCUUUGAACGCACAUUGCGCCCUUUGGUAUUCCGAAGGGCAUGCCUGUUCGAGCGUCAUUAUCAACCCUCAAGCCCGGCUUGUCGUUGAAUCCCACCGGUGGCGACGCCGGUGGAUUCCAAAGAUAGUGGCAGAGUCCCCGGGACCCUGGAUGCAGCGAGCUUCUCCAGCACGCGUCCGGCGGUCGGUGGGCGCCGUCUCANCCCUGAAAUUUCAAUCUGGUUGACCUCGGAUCAGGUAGGGAUACCCGCUGAACUUAAGCAUAUCAAUAAGCGGAGGAAAANGAAACCAACCGGGAUUGCCUCAGUAACGGCGAGUGAAGCGGCAACAGCUCAAAUUUGAAAUCUGGCCCCUCUGGGGGUCCGAGUUGUAAUUUGUAGAGGAUGCUUCGGGCAAGGCCGUGGUCUAAUUUGCGUGGAACCGCAAGUCACAGAGGGUGAGAAUCCCGUCUAGGAUCGCCGGCCGCGUCCAUGUGAAGCUCCUUCGACGAGUCGAGUUGUUUGGGAAUGCAGCUCUAAAUGGGUGGUAAAUUUCAUCUAAAGCUAAAUAUUGGCCAGAGACCGAUAGCGCACAAGUAGAGUGAUCGAAAGAUGAAAAGCACUUUGAAAAGAGAGUUAAACAGUAUGUGAAAUUGUUGAAAGGGAAGCGCUUGCAAUCAGACUUGCGGGUGACGGCUCCCCCCCCCCCUUCGGGUGGGGCUACUCCGUCACUUCCAGGCCAGCAUCGGUUUGGGUGGUCGGUCAAAGACUGCGGGAAUGUAUCUACCCUCCGGGGUCGACUUAUAGCCCGGGGUGCAAUGCGGCCCACCCGGACCGAGGAACGCGCUUCGGCUCGGAUGCUGGCGUAAUGGUUGUAAGCGGCC
rnacentral:rRNA from 1 species